CCAAUAGCUCAGUUGGUUAGAGCAACCGGCUCAUAACCGGUAGGUCCCGGGUUCGAGUCCCUGCUGGC
rnacentral:tRNA from 1 species